UGAAAACAAAUCUCAAUGUUUGAUGUUCAUGAUUAUCAUUGAGCUGUAGUGUUGUGGAUUUCACCGUCAAGAGAUGUUUUUCUUCUCUGAUGCAAAAAUGCUGGUAGAGUCUAAUAGGGAUCCUAAUAUCUCCAUUCAAGCUAAAUGGUGGAGUCUAUGGACAUUAGGUUUGGGGUCACCACAAAACGUUUAGAAACCCGGAUUUGUCAUUUGACCUGUCCCAUUAAACCAAUGCCACGGUUUCCACUACAUUUUUUAUAGGAAGGCAGUGGACUGGUGCCUCUUCAGCUCUAUAUAGCAGAGUCAGCCGGUACCAAACAGGCACAGACGUGUUAGAUCUCCAUGGUGUCACCUUUUCAGUCAUCUGAAAGCCACCACCAGGAUUUUCAAAUGAGCCACGGGGAAGUGUUUUAUGAUGGUAACAUAAAUACCUGACACCUGCUUCGAUGCCGUGACAACUUUCUUUCAUUGAGAGUUUUGGCCUGCGAUGGGUUUCUGUAGAUUGGUUUGUAGAAUGAUUUUAUGUUGGUUUGGCUGUAUUUAAGCGCUAAAUGUUCUACAUUGGCUUACAUAUCUGGUGUCAGAGGUGCAUUCCACAGGUUGACACAGUCUAAGGUACAAGUUCAAUAUAAACCUAACCUGGCAGUAACACUGACAACACAAACUUCAAAUGGACUUCAAGUGAUCAAGGAGGAUUCAACAACAAAAAAAGAUUUAGAAACCGUAUGACCCGUUCUAACCAGUGGUCUUGUCUGCUGUAAGGGGUCGAUCUUAUUUUUUCAUAUUGACGUAGAGUUGUUAUUCUCGCUUUGAAAGAUGUUAAGCCUUAUCGAGACUUCUGCCCGAGCCACAAUUGUUUUGAGUCUCUAGAGUUGUCCCCCUUUUAAAGUGUCACAAAACAUUGCCUAUCAGCCUGAGCAGCUCACCAAUAACCUCUAGAGAGGCCUCAGCGGCUGUUCAGCGGAUAGGGGGCUAAACACCUCUACCGUGUCACUUGGUUUGUAGUCCUGUCUAGCAAGAUGCAACAAAGAAUUAUACUGUCUUCAGUCUUUAUUGCAGUUUGAAACUACCCACUCAGGAUACAACAAAACCUCUUGCUUUGUAAUUGCCUGUCUGGACCACAAUCUGUCUAAUUAAGGAGGCCUGCUCCAAUGCAGAUUGGCACCCAAACAGGACCGGACCACACCCUUCUUUUCCUUCUCAUGGACAUGUUUUUCUAUUCCCUCCCAUCUGGGUGCAUUUCUGCUCACUUCUCUCAGUCGACAGGGACUGGGACUUCCUCUCACAGGAAAAAAUGUUGGAUUUAAUAGAUCUCAUGUUUGAGAUAGUACUGCUAACUUUGUUUGCAAAGUUUGAAUAAUUUUUUUUUUUUUUUUAAAUGUAUGAUUCUACUUCAAAUGAAACUAUUAAAGCGAAGAUAGUACUGGCCAGCUCCAAUGCAAAGGAUUAGGUUUGAGAUGCUCAAUGUAGCGACCAGUCAGUUUGAAGCCUUAUUAUGGUUUGGUGUGUAUAUUCCUGUAACAUUCUGAUGUGACCCGUCUAGUGUGUCCCUUGUCUGAUGGUUUAUUUUGGGUUUGUGCCCCAAACCCAGAGAAUCAAACUGAAUCGCUUUUAUUAAGGCAUCUUCAAUCCAUAAUGAUAUGGAUUUCCAUGUAGGUGUUUUCAGGAAGUGAUGUAUGUAAAGCGUAGAAACUUCUAGAAUAAAUGUUGGCCAUGACAUAGUAAAAAAUAUAAUAAUUACAAAUGGGGAGACCUUAUCUGUCAGCCAUCUCAAUGAGAUAAGUAACAUUUGUAUUGAGUCCCAUUGCGUUAGCUGUCUCAUAGUAUGUCCUGACCUUCAAUCUAUGUAAUUUCUUAUGAGAUGUGUGUGACACUAUAAUAUACUGCACCUUUUCCCCAAGAUUGAAUUUAGGACUUGGGAUGGUGUAGAGUAGACCACAUUGCUUCUUAGAUGGCUACCAGCAAUGUACAGGGCUGCUAAAACUAGCUGCCACAGAGCUGCUGCUCUACGACAGGGUUUCCCGAACUCGGUCUAGCCCCCCCCUCGUGGUGCACAUUUUGGUUAUUGCCGGAGCACUACACAGCUGAUUCAAAUAACCAACUCAUCAUCAAGCUUUGAUUAUUUGAAUCAGCUGUGUAUUGCUAUGGCAAAAAACUAAACGUGCACCCAGGGGGUGGCCCCCAGGACCGAGUCUGGGAAAUCCUGCUCUACAGUACAUUCCCACAGGGGCGUUCAACACUCUAAUGGCCAUUCAUUCUGUCUCAGUCAAUGGUAAGUGAAUGGUUUACAUUUUUGAGUUGACAAGAUGUGUGGGACCCAUUUUAGGCCUUGACUCAACGUUCCAGGCCAAGGCAUUAGUCCCAAAACUUUGACUGCCAAGUUUAUGCAAGACAUCUGAUUUAAUUUCUGUUUUCAUUAUAUUGUAUAUGUAAAAAAAAGAAAAAUGAAAAAAAAAGAAAGACUAAUAAAAUAUACGAAUGGCUA
rnacentral:lncRNA from 1 species